rnacentral:lncRNA from 1 species
UUACUGAUUGUGUUUUAAUUUAUAUAUUAAAAAAUUUCUUAUAUAAUCGUAAAAGAGAUAGUAUUAAUUUUAAAAUAUUAAAUUAAUUAUCACUAUAGUUUAGGGUUUUUGGUUUAGGGUAUAUGAAUAAUUUAAAAUUUAAGGCCGGUUUAGGAGUUACUAUUUUAAGGUUAAUUUAGGGAUCAGUAUGGUCUAAGGGCUAGGAUUUAAGGUUUAGUGGUUUAGAUGUUAGAUGUUAGGGGUUAAUAGUUAGG